UACGGAGGGUGCAAGCGUUGUUCGGAAUUAUUGGGCGUAAAGAGCUCGUAGGCGGUUUGUCGCGUCUGCUGUGAAAUCCCGAGGCUCAACCUCGGGUCUGCAGUGGGUACGGGCAGACUGGAGUGCGGUAGGGGAGAAUGGAAUUCCUGGUGUAGCGGUGAAAUGCGCAGAUAUCAGGAAGAACACCCGUGGCGAAGGCGGCUCUCUGGGACGGUACUGACGCUGAGACGCGAAAGCGUGGGGAGCGAACAGG
rnacentral:rRNA from 1 species